rnacentral:rRNA from 1 species
UAAACCAAUAUGGUAGAGCUUAUAAUUUAGAGUUGUAGGUAGUUAAUGCGUGUAUAUAAGUAAUGUAAUAGUAAUUUAUUGUAGAGUGGUGUAAUACGGCUAUAAUAAUUGGUCUAUAUAUAUAUCAGUUUGUUGAGGCUACGAAAGUUUAAUGGUAGACUGGGAUUUGAUACCCCAUUAUAUAAGCUGUAAAUUGGUUAUUAUAAUCUACUAGGGGACUACGAACAAUGGUUUGAAACUCGAAGAACUUGGCGGUGUUUUGGAUUUUUAAGGGAACUUGCUUUUGAAUCGAUGAUCCGCGUUAUACAUGACCUUAAUUUGCUCUCAGUUUGUAUAUCGUUGUCACAAGUCAUGACUGAGAAGUUUUGGGCUAGAAAAUUUAUAGGUUUCUAUGUCAGAUCAAGAUGCAACUUAUAUUAAGGGUAAGGUGAGUUACAAUUGUUGGAGUACAUAACGGAUGCGAGAAGGAAGGUUUCUUGUUGAAGAAGGACUUAAAAGUAAAUUAGGCUAGAGGAAUGAUUUGAAUAUAAAUCUGAAAUGUGU